rnacentral:rRNA from 1 species
GGGUUGUGAGGUUAAGCGACUAAGCGUACACGGUGGAUGCCCUGGCAGUCAGAGGCGAUGAAGGACGUGCUAAUCUGCGAAAAGCGUCGGUAAGGUGAUAUGAACCGUUAUAACCGGCGAUGUCCGAAUGGGGAAACCCAGUGCAAUUCGUUGCACUAUCGUUAACUGAAUACAUAGGUUAACGAGGCGAACCGGGGGAACUGAAACAUCUAAGUACCCCGAGGAAAAGAAAUCAACCGAGAUUCCCCCAGUAGCGGCGAGCGAACGGGGAGCAGCCCAGAGUCUGAA